rnacentral:rRNA from 2 species
UUGCACCUGAUUGACGAUGGAUCACCAGUGAGUGGCGGACGGGUGAGUAACACGUAGGUAACCUGCCCCGGAGCGGGGGAUAACAUUUGGAAACAGAUGCUAAUACCGCAUAACAACAAAAGCCACAUGGCUUUUGUUUGAAAGAUGGCUUUGGCUAUCACUCUGGGAUGGACCUGCGGUGCAUUAGCUAGUUGGUAAGGUAACGGCUUACCAAGGCGAUGAUGCAUAGCCGAGUUGAGAGACUGAUCGGCCACAAUGGAACUGAGACACGGUCCAUACUCCUACGGGAGGCAGCAGUAGGGAAUCUUCCACAAUGGGCGCAAGCCUGAUGGAGCAACACCGCGUGAGUGAAGAAGGGUUUCGGCUCGUAAAGCUCUGUUGUUGGAGAAGAACGUGCGUGAGAGUAACUGUUCACGCAGUGACGGUAUCCAACCAGAAAGUCACGGCUAACUACGUGCCAGCAGCCGCGGUAAUACGUAGGUGGCAAGCGUUAUCCGGAUUUAUUGGGCGUAAAGCGAGCGCAGGCGGUCGCUUAGGUCUGAUGUGAAAGCCUUCGGCUUAACCGAAGAAGUGCAUCGGAAACCGGGCGACUUGAGUGCAGAAGAGGACAGUGGAACUCCAUGUGUAGCGGUGGAAUGCGUAGAUAUAUGGAAGAACACCAGUGGCGAAGGCGGCUGUCUGGUCUGCAACUGACGCUGAGGCUCGAAAGCAUGGGUAGCGAACAGGAUUAGAUACCCUGGUAGUCCAUGCCGUAAACGAUGAGUGCUAGGUGUUGGAGGGUUUCCGCCCUUCAGUGCCGGAGCUAACGCAUUAAGCACUCCGCCUGGGGAGUACGACCGCAAGGUUGAAACUCAAAGGAAUUGACGGGGGCCCGCACAAGCGGUGGAGCAUGUGGUUUAAUUCGAAGCUACGCGAAGAACCUUACCAGGUCUUGACAUCUUGCGCUAACCUUAGAGAUAAGGCGUUCCCUUCGGGGACGCAAUGACAGGUGGUGCAUGGUCGUCGUCAGCUCGUGUCGUGAGAUGUUGGGUUAAGUCCCGCAACGAGCGCAACCCUUGUUACUAGUUGCCAGCAUUAAGUUGGGCACUCUAGUGAGACUGCCGGUGACAAACCGGAGGAAGGUGGGGACGACGUCAGAUCAUCAUGCCCCUUAUGACCUGGGCUACACACGUGCUACAAUGGACGGUACAACGAGUCGCAAGCUCGCGAGAGUAAGCUAAUCUCUUAAAGCCGUUCUCAGUUCGGACUGUAGGCUGCAACUCGCCUACACGAAGUCGGAAUCGCUAGUAAUCGCGGAUCAGCAUGCCGCGGUGAAUACGUUCCCGGGCCUUGUAC